rnacentral:rRNA from 1 species
UACGUAGGGUGCAAGCGUUAAUCGGAAUUACUGGGCGUAAAGCGUGCGCAGGCGGUUAUGUAAGACAGUUGUGAAAUCCCCGGGCUCAACCUGGGAAUUGCAUCUGUGACUGCAUAGCUAGAGUACGGUAGAGGGGGAUGGAAUUCCGCGUGUAGCAGUGAAAUGCGUAGAUAUGCGGAGGAACACCGAUGGCGAAGGCAAUCCCCCUGGACCUGUACUGACGCUCAUGCACGAAAGCGUGGGGAGCAAACAGG